GACGAACGCUGGCGGCGUGCUUAACACAUGCAAGUCGAACGGAAAGGCCCUGCUUUUGUGGGGUGCUCGAGUGGCGAACGGGUGAGUAACACGUGAGUAACCUGCCCUUGACUUUGGGAUAACUUCAGGAAACUGGGGCUAAUACCGGAUAGGAGCUCCUGCUGCAUGGUGGGGGUUGGAAAGUUUCGGCGGUUGGGGAUGGACUCGCGGCUUAUCAGCUUGUUGGUGGGGUAGUGGCUUACCAAGGCUUUGACGGGUAGCCGGCCUGAGAGGGUGACCGGCCACAUUGGGACUGAGAUACGGCCCAGACUCCUACGGGAGGCAGCAGUGGGGAAUAUUGCACAAUGGGCGGAAGCCUGAUGCAGCAACGCCGCGUGCGGGAUGACGGCCUUCGGGUUGUAAACCGCUUUCGCCUGUGACGAAGCGUGAGUGACGGUAAUGGGUAAAGAAGCACCGGCUAACUACGUGCCAGCAGCCGCGGUGAUACGUAGGGUGCGAGCGUUGUCCGGAUUUAUUGGGCGUAAAGGGCUCGUAGGUGGUUGAUCGCGUCGGAAGUGUAAUCUUGGGGCUUAACCCUGAGCGUGCUUUCGAUACGGGUUGACUUGAGGAAGGUAGGGGAGAAUGGAAUUCCUGGUGGAGCGGUGGAAUGCGCAGAUAUCAGGAGGAACACCAGUGGCGAAGGCGGUUCUCUGGGCCUUUCCUGACGCUGAGGAGCGAAAGCGUGGGGAGCGAACAGGCUUAGAUACCCUGGUAGUCCACGCUGUAAACGGUGGGUACUAGGUGUGGGGUCCAUUCCACGGGUUCCGUGCCGUAGCUAACGCUUUAAGUACCCCGCCUGGGGAGUACGGCCGCAAGGCUAAAACUCAAAGGAAUUGACGGGGCCCCGCACAAGCGGCGGAGCAUGCGGAUUAAUUCGAUGCAACGCGUAGAACCUUACCUGGGUUUGACAUGGAUCGGGAGUGCUCAGAGAUGGGUGUGCCUCUUUUGGGGUCGGUUCACAGGUGGUGCAUGCCUGUCGUCAGCUCGUGUCGUGAGAUGUUGGGUUAAGUCCCGCAACGAGCGCAACCCUUGUUCACUGUUGCCAGCACGUUAUGGUGGGGACUCAGUGGAGACCGCCGGGGCCAACUCGGAGGAAGGUGGGGAUGACGUCAAGUCAUCAUGCCCCUUAUGUCCAGGGCUUCACGCAUGCUACAAUGGCUGGUACAGAGAGUGGCGAGCCUGUGAGGGUGAGCGAAUCUCGGAAAGCCGGUCUCAGUUCGGAUUGGGGUCUGCAACUCGACCUCAUGAAGUCGGAGUCGCUAGUAAUCGCAGAUCAGCAACGCUGCGGUGAAUACGUUCCCGGG
rnacentral:rRNA from 1 species